UCAACGCUAAGAGAUCUUCUUAGAUAUGGUCUGUUUUUGCAAAAAAGAAGCAAUAGAAAUAAAAGAAGUUAUCCGAUAAAAUCACUAAUGAACGAUGUUUACUCAACGUUGAUUGGUAAAUGGAUCCACGCCAAUGCUUUAUUUGCAUAUCCUGUAACACAUAUUGAACAUUAUAUUACUGCAACAUUGGUGAAUAAAUGCAAUGCAGCCAACCUGGUUGCUAGGGGAAAAACAAGCUUAAAGAAUAAAGAUUUUUGGCAAAACUUGAAAAAUUGUUUGAUAUACUGAAUUGUAAUUGCCAAAUUAUUAUUUGUCAAGAGAAAAAUUGUUUUUCAGAAUGUAACAAUGAAGCCCAUAUUAACUGUACGUGUGAAAAGAAAAAAAAGAUUCCAAAGAAAGAGUUAGUUUUUAUACUUCGGCAAAGAGCUAAAAUAGGGACUACCGGUCCGCAUCAAAUUGGAUUAUCUGACUGAAAAAAAACAAAAAGCUACAUAAAAUUGCUAAAAGAAGAUUGAAGGAAAAACUAAAGCAAAAAGUAUCUGAAGAACUGCAACCAACAAUUAGAAGUCAGGAAGAAAAGUUUGAAUUUGAAUUUAGCGAAACAGAUGAACUAUUUAGUAAUGAAUGUUUCACAACAAACAGCAAUACUGAACUCAAUCUAUGUGUCGACAGAAUGAAGAUCAGAAAUGUUUACGAGGACAAAGGAAUUAUGAAAGUAUUUCCAACAUAGCGUUAGCAAGCAUUCGGUAUGGUACAGACUUACGGGAAACAGCUGCAAUUACAACGGCAGCAUGGAUGGACGCAGGAAUAGUUAAAGAAGAUGAUACCAAGUUGCUUAUUGACAGCAAAGUCAAGAGAGAAUUGAUAAUACAAAAGUUCAAUUAGAAGUCGAAGGUCCGUAUAAAUGUUAUCCUGCUACAAUAAAAGAGGAACAUUAUACAGUAUGUCAAGAGCCCGUUGUUAGGUAUCUUUUCCAUUUUACACCUGAAAAAUUCAAAAACAUAUGAAACACGCUAAAGUAAUUGCUCAGAAUAUACACGAAUUUUUGAAGAGUAAUGGUGUCGAUAAAAGUUUAACAGCGAUUGGUUGUGAUUCUACUAGUGUUAACACAGGGUGGUCAGGCGGAGCAAUACAUUGGCUGGAAGUUAAGUUAGGAAGAAAGCUAAACUGGCUAAUUUGCGCACUCCUUACUUAUGAACUUUCUCUGCGUCAUCUGAUAACAACUCUUGAUGGAGAAACUCUGAGUAGCAUCAAAUGGAGAGGCAGCAUUGGAAAACUAUUAAAUGACGCAACUGCUCUGGAAAUUAAUCCAUCGUUUGAAAAAAUUGAUCGGAAAUCUGCUUAUUACUCUAAAGGAUGAGGUAAUCAAAAAUUUAUCCCCCGAACAGUUUUAUUGGUAUAAAAUAGUUUCUGCUAUUAGAAGUGGAAAUAUACCCGCAGAUUUGGCUUUACUUGAAAUUGGGCCAGUUAAUCAUUCCAGAUGGUUGGCAACAGCCAACAGACUUUGCAGAGUUCGGGUCACAAAACACGAGUUGGAAGGCGAAAUUUAAAAAACCCUAAAUUAAUAACUGAGUUUAUUGUUGGAGUUUACAUGCCAAUGUGGUUUAAAAUUAAAGUCGAGCACAGAUUUACUGAAGGACCGAGACAUAUUCUUUACCAGCUUAACCUUUUGAAACAUCAAUCAAGUGAAGUAGUAGAAAUUGUUAUGUCAACAGUUCGACGUUCAACGUGGUAUGCAUUCUCUGAGUGCAUCAUACAGACCAUGCUCUGCUAAAAAAAUGUAGAGGAAAGAAAGAACGGUAUAUAGUUAAUUGUAAAAGUCAAAGGUUCUGGUGAUGAAAAACUUCAAACUGGUGAUAAAAAUGUAAGAGCUAGAAUAAUUCCAGAAAUAAAACCUGAUGCAACAACGCUUAUAAAGCUUAUCGACUGGAAUAUAUCCGAUGAGCCUAUUUUUACUUGUGACCUAACUAUGAGCCUAUUCUUACUUGUGAUCUGACAACAGAAGAAGUAAAACAGAUAAUAUUUCAGCCUAAGAUUGUUCCAAAUUGGCCUUGUCAUGGACAGUCAAUUAAAAGACGAGUUAAACAGGUAACAGAAAUCAAUGUUAUUUCUUAGUGUUCCUUAUAGAUGGUUUUAUAAAAGGGCAGGACUUAUCGAGAGAAUUUAUGUCUACUAAUCGGUCAAAGAAAGAUUUGAUUUUAAUGACAAAAAAAAAGAAAU
rnacentral:lncRNA from 1 species